GAGUUUGAUCUUGGCUCAGAUUGAACGCUGGCGGCAUGCCUUACACAUGCAAGUCGAACGGCAGCAUGAUCUAGCUUGCUAGAUUGAUGGCGAGUGGCGAACGGGUGAGUAAUACAUCGGAACGUGCCCUGUAGUGGGGGAUAACUAGUCGAAAGAUUAGCUAAUACCGCAUACGACCUGAGGGUGAAAGUGGGGGACCGCAAGGCCUCAUGCUAUAGGAGCGGCCGAUGUCUGAUUAGCUAGUUGGUGGGGUAAAGGCCCGACCAAGGCGACGAUCAGUAGCUGGUCUGAGAGGACGAUCAGCCACACUGGGACUGAGACACGGCCCAGACUCCUACGGGAGGCAGCAGUGGGGAAUUUUGGACAAUGGGCGAAAGCCUGAUCCAGCAAUGCCGCGUGUGUGAAGAAGGCCUCGG
rnacentral:rRNA from 1 species